GGGUAUAGCUCAAGUGGUAGAGUACAUGCUUACCAAGUAUGAGGUCCUGGGUUCAAUCCCCAGUACUUCCA
rnacentral:tRNA from 1 species